UAAUACUAUAACUUGGAAAUUGAGAACCACACAAAUGGAAGAUAUUUUUCAAAGAUAAACCAGUUAUAAAACUAAGAAAAUAGGAGAUUAGAAAGCCAAGCAAGAACACUUGGUAGAUCGGCCUUCAUCCAACACUAGUUUGCUUAUUAGCCGUCAAAAGAAUGACAUGAUUUUCAUGAAGUGGGACUGGUGACAUCACCGAACCAUCCCACUUGAGGCUGUCUGUCAACUCUUUUCAGUUUCAAGAAUAUGGGAUUUAUCCAAGGACCAAGGAUUUAGCUUUGAGGAUUCUGCCAUGUCUGGAAAGCCCGCUUCCUUGCGUUCUUCCAUGAUUUCAUAGAAAAAUAUGAGCCGAGGUGAGGGUAGACACCGGUGUGUCCUUGGAUCGAACGGCGAGUUGAGAAUAGUCGCAUGGUGGCACUGUUUCGGUUUCCCAGAGUCUUUCGACCCGAUCGUCUUUAUAAACUUCGAACAUGGGAUAUGAAGGGACGAACACCUUGGAUAUUUCUGGGGAACAGUUUGAGGCCAUUUUGGAGAAGAAGAUGAUGGAUUCUAAAGCUCAAGAAAGAGCCUCGGACACAGCUUCCACAACAUUCCAGCAAUCACGUUCUACCACCAGCUGCUGCACAUUUUUUUAGUUCCCAAAUUUCCUUAUAUAAACACCUCUGUUAGACCACAAAUUCCUCUGGAAAAUUGGUUUCAUGUGAUCAAGAUUUUUGUUAUGCUAUAAACAGUGGUCCGUUGGCUAGUUAUGUAGCUAAUAUGUCUUGUCUAUAUCUUGAGAUAUAUGGAGAUGAGAGUUCGACUCCUGGAUACUUUGUAAAUGAUACUGUGCUAUAUGAUCGAGUGUUGGGUGACUUGGAGACCUCAUCUGCAAAUAGAAGAUAGAAGUGUUAUAUUUGGGGCCAUUUGGAGGCCGAGAUGGUUCUUCAUUACAAGGUGGCAGCUGCUGCAAUUGAAAAAUCACGUGGGUGGUGAAUUAAAAAAAAGUGAAAAAUCGCAUCAAGAGUCCUCAAUGAUUGGGAAAUUUUUUAGAUGCGAGUUAGUAAUUUUGAUGGCCUGGAUCGUGAGGAAAAUAUUGGAAGUUGAAUUAAAGAUAGAGGGUGUUCGAAUGA